GCUGGGCAUGGUGGCACAUGCCUGUAAUCCCAGGGUCUUAGGAGGUUGAGGCAGGAGGAUUAUGAGUUCAAAGCCAGCCUCAGCAACAGUGAGGCAUUUAGCAACUCAGUGAGACCCUGUCUCUA
rnacentral:sRNA from 1 species